UUGGUCCUACGGGAGGCAGCAGUGGGGAAUAUUGGGCAAUGGGCGCAAGCCUGACCCAGCAACGCCGCGUGAAGGAAGAAGGCUUUCGGGUUGUAAACUUCUUUUGUCAGGGAAGAGUAGAAGACGGUACCUGACGAAUAAGCCACGGCUAACUACGUGCCAGCAGCCGCGGUAAUACGUAGGUGGCAAGCGUUGUCCGGAUUUACUGGGUGUAAAGGGCGUGUAGCCGGGUUGACAAGUCCGAUGUGAAAUCCUGCGGCUUAACCGCAGAACUGCAUUUGAAACUGUUGAUCUUGAGUACUGGG
rnacentral:rRNA from 1 species